rnacentral:rRNA from 1 species
GACGAACGCUGGCGGCGUGCCUAAUACAUGCAAGUAGGACGCAGUUGCGAACGGGUGAGUAACGCGUAGGUAACUGCCUAUUAGAGGGGGAUAACUAUUGGAAACGAUAGCUAAUACCGCAUACUAGUAGAUGGACCUGCGUUGUAUUAGCUAGUAGGUAGGGUAAUGGCCUCCCUAGGCGAAGAUACAUAGCCGACCUGGGUGGUUGGUCGGCCACACUGGGACUGGGACACGGCCCAGACUCCUACGGGAGGCAGCAGCAGGGAAUCUUCGGCAAUGGGGGGAACCCUGACCGAGCAAAGCCGCGUGAGUGAAGAAGGGUUUCGGAUCGGAAAGCUCUGUUGUUAAGGAAGCGGUACUUAACCAGAAAGGGACGGCUAACUACGUGCCAGCAGCCGCGGUAAUUC